rnacentral:rRNA from 1 species
GAUAGGUUAAGUUAUUAAGGGCGCAUGGUGGAUGCCUUGGCACUAGGAGCCGAUGAAGGACGGGACUAACACCGAUAUGCUUCGGGGAGCUGUAAGUAAGCUUUGAUCCGGAGAUUUCCGAAUGGGGGAACCCAACUUGUUAUGCAAGUUAUCACCUAAUGAAUAUAUAGUUAGGUUGAAGGUAGACGUUGUGAACUGAAACAUCUCAUUAGCAACAGGAAUAGAAAGAAAAAUCGAUACCGUCAGUAGCGGCGAGCGAAAUCGGUAGAGCCCAAACCAAAGUGCUUGCACUUUGGGGUUGUAGGACUGACAUUGUGGAGUUACAAAGUUAACAUUUAGCAGAAUCAGCUGGGAAGCUGAGCGAGACAGGGUGAUAGCCCCGUAUGCGAAAAGUGUU